GACGAACGCUGGCGGCGUGCCUAACACAUGCAAGUCGAGCGAUGAAACCCUUCGGGGUGGAUUAGCGGCGGACGGGUGAGUAACACGUGGGUAACCUGCCUCAAAGAGGGGGAUAGCCUCCCGAAAGGGAGAUUAAUACCGCAUAACAUUAUUUCUUCGCCUGAAGAUAUAAUCAAAGGAGUAAUCUGCUUUGAGAUGGGCCCGAGGCGCAUUAGCUAGUUGGUGAGGUAAUGGCUCACCAAGGCGACGAUGCGUAGCCGACCUGAGAGGGUGAUCGGACACAUUGGAACUGAGAUACGGUCCAGACUCCUACGGGAGGCAGCAGUGGGGAAUAUUGCGCAAUGGGGGAAACCCUGACGCAGCAACGCCGCGUGGGUGAAGAAGGCCUUCGGGUUGUAAAGCUCUGUCUUCUGGGACGAUAAUGACGGUACCAGAGGAGGAAGCCACGGCUAACUACGUGCCAGCCGCCGCAGUAA
rnacentral:rRNA from 1 species